GGGAGUGUGUUUACUCUCUGCCAAGCAGAUGGGAUGAGGUGGACGAAGGAACAGUUCCAUCAGGAAUUUGGAUCCGUGGCAGAGAUCCCAAACGUCUGGAAGCAAACAUUUUACAUUGGACGUAGAUAAAUGGAUGUCAUUUGCCUUGAUGAAAACAGCUCAACAUCACAUAUUCGUGGUAUUGA